rnacentral:rRNA from 1 species
AGGGAAUCUUCCACAAUGGACGCAAGUCUGAUGGAGCAACGCCGCGCGAGUGAAGAAGGUUUUCGGACCGUAAAGCUCUGUUGUUGGUGAAGAAGGAUAGAGGUAGUAACUGGCCUUUAUUUGACGGUAAUCAACCAGAAAGUCACGGCUAACUACGUGCCAGCAGCCGCGGUAAUACGUAGGUGGCAAGCGUUGUCCGGAUUUAUUGGGCGUAAAGCGAGCGCAGGCGGAAGAAUAAGUCUGAUGUGAAAGCCCUCGGCUUAACCGAGGAAUUGCAUCGGAAACUGUUUUCUUGAGUGCAGAAGAGGAGAGUAGAACUCCAUGUGUAGCGGUGGAAUGCGUAGAUAUAUGGAAGAAUACCAGUGGCGAAGGCGGCUCUCUGGUCUGCAACUGACGCUGAGGCUCGAAAGCAUGGGUAGCGAACAGGAUUAGAUACCCUGGUAGUCCAUGCCGUAAACGAUGAGUGCUAAGUGUUGGGAGGCUUCCGCCUCUCAGUGCUGCAGCUAACGCAUUAAGCACUCCGCCUGGGGGAGUACGACCGCAAGGUUGAA